rnacentral:rRNA from 1 species
GAUGAACGCUAGCGACAGGCCUAACACAUGCAAGUCGAGGGGCAGCACAAGGAGCAAUCUGAGGUGGCGACCGGCGCACGGGUGAGUAACACGUAUGCAACCUGCCUGUAAGCGGGGAAUAACCCGUUGAAAGACGGACUAAUACCGCAUAAUACUAAAUUACUGCAUGGUAAUUUAUUUAAACAUUUAUGGCUUACAGAUGGGCAUGCGCAUGAUUAGCUAGUUGGAGAGGUAACGGCUCCCCAAGGCAACGAUCAUUAGGGGUUCUGAGAGGAAGGUCCCCCACACUGGUACUGAGACACGGACCAGACUCCUACGGGAGGCAGCAGUGAGGAAUAUUGGUCAAUGGACGAGAGUCUGAACCAGCCAAGUCGCGUGCAGGAAGAAUGUCCUAUGGAUUGUAAACUGCUUUUGCAGGGGAAUAAAGUGCAUCACGUGUGAUGUUUUGUAUGUACUCUGCGAAUAAGGAUCGGCUAACUCCGUGCCAGCAGCCGCGGUAAUACGGAGGAUCCGAGCGUUAUCCGGAUUUAUUGGGUUUAAAGGGUGCGUAGGCGGGAUAAUAAGUCAGUGGUGAAAGUUUGCAGCUUAACUGUAAAAUUGCCGUUGAAACUGUUAUUCUUGAGAGUAGAUAAGGUAGGCGGAAUGUGUUGUGUAGCGGUGAAAUGCAUAGAUAUAACACAGAACCCCGAUUGCGAAGGCAGCUUACCGGGCUACAUCUGACGCUGAUGCACGAAAGCGUGGGGAUCAAACAGGAUUAGAUACCCUGGUAGUCCACGCAGUAAACGAUGAAUACUAGCUGUAUGCGAUAUAUUGUAUGUGGCAAAGCGAAAGCAUUAAGUAUUCCACCUGGGGAGUACGUUCGCAAGAAUGAAACUCAAAGGAUUGACGGGGGCCCGCACAAGCGGAGGAACAUGUGGUUUAAUUCGAUGAUACGCGAGGAACCUUACC